GCAAAAUAGUUAUAGUUAUAGUGGCCGAAGAAAAUUGUCCGGUAUAUUCAGAUAGCAGCCGAUAAGACAGCUAACGAUUAGUGGGCCGCAGAUGGGCCAUCAGGUUACGUCGCGACGGAGGGGCCAGUUGGAUAACUCCCUCGGGCAGAUAACGUCGGUAGUCCAGUCGUGAAGGCCCGAUGGGGCUCCGCAUCGGCAGUAAAACGGGUCCGGAUAGGUGAUUGUAGCCCAGGAGUCGCUGAUGGAACUCUUCAGCUGGCUAGCUCCGGAAUAAUUGAUGUUUGCUCUGGGACCGACGUUAGCCAAUAGUCACUCGGAUAGCAGCUAGCUAGCUGCAAGAUGUGUAAGGAAACCAGGGUAUCAUUUUGUAAUUUGGCCUGUCAUUUAGUAAUUUGACCUGUAACAGUUUGGCCUGUCAAUCAAUCACUGUGGGUGGGAUUGUCAGGGGAGGGGGCAGGAUGUUUGUAACAGAGUUGUUAUGGUUUCAGAUCUGUCAAUCAAUCACUGUGGGUGAGACUUUGAGGGAAUAGAUUAGUAAUCCAGUCAGAAAAGUCUACUCUUUCAAUAUAAUUUAUUGUGGCAAAGACCUAAGAAAAAAAGUUGUGUUUUGUCAAGUAAAUAUAGAUUACAUGCUAAGAAACAAUGUAGAGUUGCAGAAAAAAAUAAAAACUUUAAAAGUCCCCAUCAGAUUGUGCACCCCCCCCAAUCUUAAACAUAGUCAAGUGUCCAUGAAUAGACCUGCAGGUGUGAUUGAUGAAUGAAGCAGGUGUUAAACAUGGAAUCUGCUACAUAGAAGGAAGCAGUUGACUGCUUUCGUGUUCGACAUUUUAAUCAAAUCAGUAGGCCUACAUCAAUAUCAUGACGUUAGAUUUUAUAACCUUAAAUUUGUUUUCAUCUAUCGUAUUUUGGACCAGAACGAGGCUCUUUCUCCACUACCUAUUGUUCCUGCAGUGAGGCUUUAACAUCUUCACCUAAUGUUUUCAGAAUUUAUCUUCAAAUAGUCGCCAAAAUAAAUAACAGUAGUGGUCUACCAGUGUGCAAAUUAGGGAGCCAAAUGAACGACUCUCUCUCUCACCGAUAUAAUUUAGUUCCGUUCACCUAAAUGAUCCGUUCAAAAAGAGCCAUUCGUUCACAAACAACCCAUCACUAGUCAACACUGACGAGUCACUUUAGCGCUCACUGGCAAGUCAAGACAUGGUCUUCAAAUCCUAGGAAAAUACAAAGGAAAUUGUUGGUUUACUGUACAGAUGCGAUAUAAAAAAAGAAAUGGAUCUGCCACAAAACAAUAACGUAGUGGAUUUCAACUCAUCAUGACCACUUACGUCACAUGGAUUUGUGGAAAUACACUCACGUGAAAGGAUGAAGAAGCAUCAUGCUCUCCCUGCUACGUGAAAAUAAAUUAGACUGCAGCCAACAAGAACAAACACAAACCCAGGUACUGAGAGGCGGGACAGACAGCAGACUGACCAACCAGCAGUGUCCCUGUCAUCGCUUGCUAUGUGACUGACAGGCGUCUGUCCUAUCAAUAGACCACUAGAAGAUACAUUUAGUUCUUCUAGCGGGAUAAGGCUAUACACACAUUUCUGACUAGCAAAUGUAAUAUUUUUUAAAUGAAAAUAAGCCUAGUUAAUGAAUGAAGUGGAAAAAGUAACUGGCUAACAAUGAGGCUGUUCUCGGCUGUUUAUUUAACACUGUAUUGUCUUCCCCUAGUUUGAAGACUGAAAUGAGAGAAAAGUAGGUCGAGUCUGUAGGGAGAGCAGGCCUUUCAGAGAGUAAGGUCGGUCGAGUCUAUGGGGAGAGCAGGCCUUUCAGAGAGUAAGGUCGGUCGAGUCUAUGGGGAGAGCAGGCCUUUCAGAGAGUAAGGUCGGUCGAGUCUGUGUGGAGAGCAGGCCAUUCAGAGAGUAAGGUUGGUCGAGUCUGUUUGGAGAGCAGGCCUUUCAGAGAGUAAGGUAGAUCGAGUCCAUGGGGAGAGCAGGCCUUUCAGAGAGAGAGUGAAGAAGAUGAAGAUGACGGGAGUAGAGUGAUGAAGGGUACCGAGUCACAGCAAACCAAUGCCUGGGAACACAAACACACACACACCUCACUCACCCAGGUUGUGCUCGGUGAACAACGGCAGAUUGACGCUCGAGUUGAAGCUCCCUGGAGUAGAAAAGAUGCAAUAACCACAUCCACUUUAAUACAAUAGGUUAGCAAGCUUGAAAUAAACAAAUAUCACACUUGUAUUCAUUUGAAAUGGAGAGCAGAGAAGAAAGAAAGGGUGGUGACUAAUACAGUAGGUCCUGUACUGUGACUACUACAGUAGGUCCUGUACUGUGACUAAUACAGUAGGUCCUGUACUGUGUGAUGUGACUAAUACAGUAGGUCCUGUACUGUGACUAAUACAGUAGGUCCUGUACUGUGACUAAUACAGUAGGUCCUGUACUGUGACUAAUACAGUAGGUCCUGUACUGUGUAAUGUGACUAAUACAGUAUGUCCUGUACUGUGUACUGUGACUAAUACAUUAGGUCCUGUACUGUGACUAAUACAGUAGGUCAUGUGCUGUGUGCUGUGACUAAUACAGUAGGUCCUGUACUGUGUACUGUGACUAAUACAGUAGGUCCUGUACUGUGACUAAUACAGUAGGUCCUGUACUGUGACUAAUACAGUAGGUCCUGUACUGUGUAAUGUGACUAAUACAGUAGGUCCUGUACUGUGUGAUGUGACUAAUACAGUAGGUCCUGUACUGUGACUAAUACAGUAGGUUCUGUACUGUGUGAUGUGACUGUAGAGAUUUUGUGACCAUAGUACAGUAGGUCCUAGUGGUAGGAAUGUAUGACUCACUCUUCCUGGGGUACUCAGGUAGAGGAUCCACCUGGUAGGCACUACGGAGGAAGCUGGGCUUGGGUCUCUCCUUUUCCUCAGCAGCCUUUACCCUGACCUCCCCCUCCCUCUCGGGGACUGGAGCAUGAAGGAGCACCUCCUGGUCUGAUUCUCCCAGAUACCCUUUACUCCCAUCCACCACUUGCCUCUCCUGGGUUUCCGCGUCUCUCUUGUUCCCCUCCUCUUCAGGCUCCUGGUCCAAAUCCUCCAUCCUCUCCUCCUCUUCCUCUUCUUCCCGGUGUCCGGCGGUGUUGCUACUCCCGUCACUACCAGUCCCAGACGUGUGCGCCACGCUCUCCUCGUCCGAGAUGAUGUCAUCAAAGAACUGGUCUUCAUCGAGGACGUCAGAGGGAGUGGGAGGGAUCAGGUUGAUGACAGGUGGGGUGAGGAGGCUACCUGUACCUGAGCCUCCAGGUGUGUCAAACAGAAUUGAGUCCUCCUCCUCCGCUACCUCCACCUCCUUCUCCUGCUCCUCCAUUGCCUCAUCCUGCUCCCCUUCGCCUGUUAUGUUUCUCCUCUGGUUUGCCCCAGGCUCCUCCUCGCUGGCUGGGCUUCUCCUCUUUGUCUGCUUUCCACCCGGCUGGUCUCCUCCCGGCUGGUCUCCUCCCAGCUGGAGAGGAAGGGAGGACAGAGGCUUCAGCAUUCUUUUCUUCUUCAGUGCCCUGCGGACGGCCGACACAGAGUUGGAAGAUGGACUAAAAGUACUGAACAUCUGGACUGGUGCAACCUCCUCUUUGGUCAGGGUGAAGCUAGGGUUGGCCAGCCCAAGAUCCUCCACCGUGAUGUGGAUAGCACUGGCCUCUCCCUCCCCUGAGAUCCCCUGGUCGUCCCCAAGACAAGUCCACUCUAGCUGUGUGUCCCUCUCCCCGCUCUGCCCUCUCUGGCUCUGGCCUGGUAUUAGUUCUUUGUCCUCUCCUCCCACACAGGAGCAGCAGCAGCACAGCAGCCUGCAGGAGAGACCGUGUAUGUUCUUCCUCCACAGACACAGACGAUGCAUUCGAGGACCAUGCAACCUCUCUGCCUCCAUCUCUGCAGCCAUGUCUUCCCAAUCCCAGAAAAUAAUGGAUAAAUCCAGCACACUGGUGAUCUUGAUGUUUCUGAAAAUGCUGUUGGUUUUAUUUUACCAGCAUUUCCCAACCGUGUCUGUCAUGCGUUCCCUGCCAAUUCAAUGCACAUCCUCGGGCAGUCUCAGACAAUCUCAGACCACAACGAUGCCAUUCUUCAGUUUCAUCUGAUAAGAUAACUUCUCUGACAUGUCAGAUGACUCUGCACAUCCUCGGGCAGUCUCAGACAAUCUCAGACCACAAGGAGGCAAUUCUUCAGUUUCAUCUGAUAAGACAAUUUCUCUGACACGUCAGAUCACUCUGCACUCCACUUACCUCAGACAGCCCCCCCCAAAAAAAAAAAAACAAGGAGGCUGGUAUAGUUGCUAAACUAGUGUCUUCCGAAAUCUGUCUUGUCAUGAGCUUGGCAAGCAAGACUAUUGGUAAACACGGUCUUGUUUUCUAUCUGAUAAGCCUUCGUCAAUAGUCUCACGGAAGGAUGAACAGCGAACAGCCACCCACACCUCUGCACUGUACUCCUGCUCUUACCCUUUGAUAGGUUCUGGAGGCUUCGCACGCCAUGCAAAUAUAUCUUUCUGCAGUCUGUGUUGCUUAGCAAAGCAGAGAGUACUAACUUAUUCAUGUCGCUGCUCUGGGUCGUCAGAGGAACACUUCAAAUGAACAUCAGUUUUAAUUAAAAAAAAAGGCCUUUCG
rnacentral:lncRNA from 1 species